rnacentral:rRNA from 1 species
GAUGAACGCUGGCGGCGUGCUUAACACAUGCAAGUCGAACGGUGAAGCUCCAGCUUGCUGGAGUGGAUCAGUGGCGAACGGGUGAGUAACACGUGAGCAACCUGCCCCUGACUCUGGGAUAACAGCCGGAAACGGCUGCUAAUACCGGAUAUGCACCAUGAACGCAUGUUCUGUGGUGGGAAAGAUUUUUCGGUUGGGGAUGGGCUCGCGGCCUAUCAGCUUGUUGGUGAGGUAAUGGCUCACCAAGGCGUCGACGGGUAGCCGGCCUGAGAGGGUGACCGGCCACACUGGGACUGAGACACGGCCAGACUCCUACGGGAGGCAGCAGUGGGGAAUAUUGCACAAUGGGCGAAAGCCUGAUGCAGCAACGCCGCGUGAGGGAUGACGGCCUUCGGGUUGUAAACCUCUUUUAGCAGGGAAGAAGCGAGAGUGACGGUACCUGCAGAAAAAGCGCCGGCUAACUACGUG